CCCUUUUUCCUCUCGCUAUAAAUCUACCACCACGAUCCUCCAUCCGGCCCGGCCCGGCCCGGCCCGUUGGAGGGGACCGCUGGUUGCCGACAGAGCCAUAUGGACGACUUGUUGGUUACGCUGUUCCACAACUUGGCACAGCAUCCAGAGACUGGCACUGGCACAUGUCGGCCGCAGGCUUGCGGUGACGCUUACAGCAGGACACUGAAGAGAUGGCACGGCUGGUUGGGUUGGCCACUUCGAGCUUUUCGCUUGCACCGGACAGGACGAACAAGUUCAUGGAGAUCAUCAGCGUGGUUCAGGCGCAUCAACGCUGAUAUUGACAAGUAAGUUCUGCAGAGAACCACAGGUUUCUGGCCAGCGUGGGCAUGGACGAUCUUAAGGCAUCCUAAUCAUCUAUCUAACACUUAUGACUUUACUUUUGCCAGGCUUACACAGAAACAACCAUCGAUCUGUCGAUAAUUUGUUUGUAUCGUUGGUUAUAUGACUGUCAAGUGUAACACCGUCUUCAGCAGCUCUCCUAUCACAUCCCCUAUCUGAUACCUCUAUUUCAAACUUCACUCUAUAACCAGUAUCAAAUAGUAUCAUCUACAUUACCAUACCGUAUCCCUAUUUUACACGAUCCACCGAACACAACCUUAUACCCUCUUAUAUCCAUAAAAGUUUGUUCAACCUCUGCUUUGUGUUUGCAUUAUAUCGUGGUUGUUUCAGCCUCCCUAGUAAGAGUCUGUAACUAGGGCUAGAUAUCGAGCUAGCUUGACUCGUUUACGAACUUAAGCUAGCUCGUGAGCCACAACAGAAAAAACAAUAUAUAUAUAUAUAUAUAAUUAAUUUUUAAUUAAUUCUAAACUAAUUUAACUAUAGUAAAUGAUAAUUAUACUCAUAGUUUCACAUACCACAUCAAUGCAACACCAAAUUAACAUAACUCAUCACUCAUCAAUUCAUCACCAAUUCAUAAUCCACACACAUGUUUAUCACUUUAACCCAUAGUCACAGUCGCACAGACCAAUUUAACACAUAGAUACGGUUCGUCAAUCAUUAGUUUAAUUCAUAAUCCAUAGGCACCGCACAUACGUAUAGCAUGUUCAACAAUUUCAAGCGUAAAUGAUAUGCAUAUUGUUUCGUUUUACUAAAGUGUGAUAGUUCGUUGAGCUCGCGAGCUGGCUUGUUAAUAAACUGAGCUAGGAUGUUAGCUCAGCUCGUGAAAACAUUCAAACGAGCUGAACUGACCAUGAACCGAGCGAGCCGACAAGUCACGAGUAUUUUGUCCAGCACUAUCUGUAACCGUGACGUACAGAACCACUAAUACAAUGUUUGUACGUUGCGACAACACAAAAUCAUAUUUGAUAUCUAUAAAAAAUAAAUUUAAUAUUAAAGUGAACAUAUAGUCUACAUAUUAGAUAUUAAAUUGAUAAAAACAAAUAUUACACCUUAUCUUAGUCAAAAGGCCGAGAAAUAUAUAAGUUGAAAAUGAGCUCCACCUCUUUUUUAUAGGUCGCUCGGUCGCUUGUCCUUCAACUAGCAAGGUAGUACUAUAUGGGAGCGUUGCACUGUAUAUAUGUGGUUUACUGUUGUGUUGGGUUUGAAUAUAGUUUCUCAUGACCCAACUAUGCUGUAAUGACCCAUUGGUAGAUGAGAUGUGGCCGGCGGGGGGAUAGACAUAGGACGCACAACACACGGAAUUGAUGCUUUAGAGGAGUAGAGAAAGUCAGUCUCCUAUAAAAAAAGCCUCUGGCUGUUGUGUUUUUUUGAGUGAGAAUUCCCUUCUGUUAUAGCCGAUAUAUAUGUUUGUCCGUACUACUGAUGCAAAGUA